CAAAUGCGAUACGCAAUGCGAAUUGCAGAAUUCCGCGAGUCAUCAGAUCUUUGAACGCAAGUGGCACUGGGGUAACCAAUAACCCAGUAUGUUUGUUUCAGUGUGUUAGGAAUCACAAAACAUAAUGCGGUUGAAUAUUACUUUCUCCCGUUAAACAAGAAAGCGCUGAAAGAUUCAGUGCCACCGAAGUAGUCACUUCUUUGCAAGUGAUCUCGGUAGGCGAAACUGAAGAUUUCAUUAAAGCGUCUUUGCUUUUUAAUAAAUUUUUUCUCCAUUCAACACCUGAAAUCAAGCAAGAUCACCCGCUGAACUUAA
rnacentral:misc_RNA from 1 species